CUUAUCUUAUCACAGUGUAUCGAAUAAUUAUAACAUUCGCUUCGGUUUUAGCUAGUUUGAGCUCGAACGUAGUGCUCACAUAAGCCUUAAUUAUCUUGUCCUUUCUGAUAUGUGAAAUAUUGCCUUACAGCGUAGUUUUUCAAGUUGAAAAUUGCAUUCGUUUUCGUACGUGAAUAUGUUCACUUUGUCGUAGGUAUUUUUUCGUUCAUUUUUGAUCGUGAUGUGUCGAAUUUUGCACUACAUAUUUUUGCCAGUGAAAAUAAUCAUUUCGGUUCGAAGUGUUUUUCGAGGAUGCAAACGAGCUCGUGUUUUUGAAAAAUAAUUUUUGCUGUAUUUAGGUAAAUAUGAUCUUCAUAAAUAUACGUAAGAGUGAGUGAUGAAUUUCAAACAAGAUACCUAUUUGAGGAUGAGAAAUACUUCAAAAAAGUAUGUACUUGUUAUAAUAAUUAUGUUUAUUAUUCGUGAAAAUGGAUCUUCUCGUCCCAUUCUAAAUUUU